UAGCAUACCCGUUUUGGAGGUCACAGGUCCUCCAGGCGUAGUUAGUGGCGGAGCAAGCUGUGAGGGGAGGGUCUUCGAGUUGUCGCCCGCGUGAAUUCGGGGGCCCAGUGAAUGUCUGAGGGGAACCUUCACUCCAGACUCCGAGUCAGUCCGAACCCAGGUCUCUCUCGUCUCUGCCUCGACGACGUUUUUUUGUACCACUUUCCCCUCCUUUUCCCCUGGGGUCCUUUUGGUCCCGCCCCUCUCUCUUCCCCCUCGAAAAGCCGAAUUUCGCAGAUUCUCAGCUGUGAAGAGAAAAUUUUGCCGGAAAUUAAAACCUUCCUUCUAUUAGGCAGUAGUCGGUUGAUGGGACGGGCUAAAGGUCGCUUGGUGUCCUGACAAGAUGCGUUACUGUCUUGCUAAGAUCAUCUUUAAUGCUUGAGGGAAAAUAACUAACUGCAAACCUAGAACUUUCGGAUUACUAUCCAACUUGAAGAAGGCUUGGAAUCUUAGUGAGACCCAGGAGCCUGUGGGAGAGGCCGCUGCAAACGCGCUGUUGACCUACAAAGACAUGACCACCAACACCAGCCCCACGCACCCCUACUGGCCUCGGCAUCUGCGACUAGACAACUUUGUGCCUAAUGACUGCCCCACCCGGCAUAUCCUGGCUGGCCUAUUCUCCGUCUCUGGAGUCUUAGUUGUGGCCACAUGGCUGUUGUCAGGGCGUGCUGCGGUCAUCCCACUGGGGACUUGGCGGAGACUGUCCCUGUGCUGGUUUGCAGUAUGUGGGUUCAUUCACUUGGUGAUUGAGGGCUGGUUCAGCCUCUACCACGCGGACCUUCUCGGAGACCAAGCCAUCUUAUCUCAACUCUGGAAAGAGUAUGCCAAGGGAGACAGCCGAUACAUCCUGAAUGAUAACUUCAUGAUAUGCAUGGAGACUGUCACGGCUUACCUGUGGGGACCACUCAGCCUGUGGGUGGUGAUUGCUUUUCUCCGCCAUCAACCCCUCCGCUUUAUCCUACAGCUUGUGGUCUCUGUCGGUCAGGUAUAUGGAGAUGUGCUCUAUUUCCUGACAGAGUACCGUGAUGGAUUCCAGCACGGGGAGCUGGGCCACCCACUCUACUUCUGGUUUUACUUUGUUUUCUUGAAUGCCCUGUGGUUGGUGCUGCCCGGACUCCUCAUACUGGAUUCUAUAAAGCAACUUGCUUAUGCCCAGAGCAUACUGGAUGCCAAAGCCCCCAAAGCCAAGAGCAAGCAGAACUAAAGAGUGAUGAACUAGGCUUAAACACCGGCUAUUGAGGAACUCUCCACCUGCCAGAAGAUUCCAAUCCUUGCUCCCACAGGUUGCAAGGACAAAUCGAAUUGAUCUGUCAAACUCAGGUUGAUGGGUGGGCAGUGGGAAGAAAGGAGCCGUGUGGAGCCACUGUCAGGAGCCAAUAGGACAAAGGUACAAGAGAACCUAGGAAGUCUGUGAUGGGGACAAUUUUUUUUUUUAACUUUACAAUACUGUAUUGGUUUUGCCAUACAUUGACAUGAAUCCACCACAGGUGUACAUGAGUUCCCAAC